rnacentral:tRNA from 1 species
GGCGACAUAGCCAAGUGGUAAGGCCGAGGUCUGCAAAACCUCUAUCCCCAGUCCGAUUCUGGGUGUCGCCU